CCACAUCUCAGAUCCCCGAUAACACUGAAGAUUUAUCCUUGGGGAUGUAUUUGCUGCAGCUGAAGAAGAGGGAUGAACCCAGAAACUGAACCAAAAGUUG